GAAGAAAGGGGACUGUACAAGGAAAUUGUACAUGGGGGCCUACUGAUAUUUUUAGAGCAUCCAAAAUAAGUCUCCUGUGAAUUUACAGCCGCCAAAAGUGGAGAGGGAAUUGUGAAGGCUACCGAAGAACUAACAGCUGAAACAUGAACGGAGCCUUCUCCUCUCCUAACCCAUCCUGAUCAGAGAAGACACUAAAAGCACUGAAA